rnacentral:rRNA from 1 species
GAUGAACGCUGGCGGCGUGCCUAAUACAUGCAAGUCGAGCGAACGGACGAGAAGCUUGCUUCUCUGAUGUUAGCGGCGGACGGGUGAGUAACACGUGGAUAACCUACCUAUAAGACUGGGAUAACUUCGGGAGACCGGAGCUAAUACCGGAUAAUAUUUUGAACCGCAUGGUUCAAAAGUGAAAGACGGUCUUGCUGUCACUUAUAGAUGGAUCCGCGCUGCAUUAGCUAGUUGGUAAGGUAACGGCUUACCAAGGCAACGAUGCAUAGCCGACCUGAGAGGGUGAUCGGCCACACUGGAACUGAGACACGGUCCAGACUCCUACGGGAGGCAGCAGUAGGGAAUCUUGCACAAUGGGCGAAAGCUGGACGGAGCAACGCAGCGUGAGUGAUGAAGGUCGUCGGAUCGUAAAACGCUGUUAUGAGGGAAGAACAUAUGUGUAAGUAACUGUGCACAUCGUGACGGUACCUAAUCAGAAAGCCACGGCUAACUACGUG